UUAGAUAUUGAAACAAUGUUUUAUAGAUUAAUGACUUUUUCAUAUGUGUUAUGCUCACUUAUAAAUCAAAAUUUUUUUGCUACCACUGUUAAUCAAGCACUGAAUCAUAAAAACAUAUGCCAGAGACUUAAACUCGAUGAAAUUUUUUUACAUAAAUUUAAUAUCGAUAAAAAAUUAGCUGAGAACAUUCGAAUUAUAAAUGAAAACAAAGGUAUUAACACUAUAGAGAAACAACACAAGCUUCAAGUUGUUAAACUUUUUCAGAGAGAAAUGAAUGUGUCUGUUGACUCGUUUUUUAAAUCCCUUCAAAAUUUCAAAAGAAUUCUUAGAGGAAACUACCAAUCUAUUGAGGAGCUAAAAGAAAUAAAUAAAGGUAGAUUGGAACAGUUAAAGUCUGCUAUGUUGGAUGCAGAAGAUGAAUUUAACUUAAUUGUUGAUAUUGCGCAUAAUGAGGAAUUGCAUGCCCAAAAAAAUCUUAGCAAUAAAAAGUACAACACCGUAGUGGAGCAUUUCUUUAAAGAGUUAAUUAGCGGUGUGGCAGUUGCUGCUGAUGUUUUAGAAGAGAAACUAGACGAUAAUGCAUUUGGAAAAGAAAUACGCUCAAAAAAAAUAGAAAUUGAGACUGUCGUUAAAAUUGAUGGAAACUCAAAUGACAAUGAAGGUAUUGUUAUGCUUGUGGAUUCUGACAGCAAUCACUAUGUGCUUUCAAAGCCUAGAGAUGGUACAACUACACAUGUGGACUACAUUCUUUUGAAAGAGAUUCUUUCAUUAGUUGUUUGUACUUUUUUGCUGACAUUAGUUUGUAGUUUAUUGCGUUUUCCUUUUAUCUUUGCAUGCAUUGUGACUGGAGUUAUACUUGGUCCAUCUGGUACAGCAUUCAUAACAAGUACUGUGCAAAUUGAGACAAUAGGAGAGUUUGGUGUUUUUUUUGUUUUGUUUAUUAUUGGGCUUGAGUUUUCCCAAGAAAAGCUAAGAAAAGUCAUCCAUCAAUCUUUGUUUGGUAUAUCUGGAAUAAUUAUCUCUUUGACUGUUAUUGGGUUGUUUUGGGGUGCUGUGUUUAACAUCGUACCUAAACAGACUAUUUUUGUAACCUUGUGUUUAUCUUUUACUAGCACAACUAUGGUUACUAAUAUGAUUCGGACACAAAAUUCUGCAAAGGAUCAUAUUGUGAGUUUUGAUGAGGACUACUCAAGUCUCCUUAUAUCAAUGUUGUUUUUGCAAGAUGUUCUCUUGGGUAUUUUCAUGGCGGCACUACCUAUUCUGUCUGGCCAUUAUUCUGAUCAAAUUCACACAUUUCCAAGUUUGUCUGGCAAUAAUGCUGUGCAUUCAUUUCUUCAUGGAUCUUUUGGAGGAUCUGGAGAAAUUAUGUUUUUCACUGUAAUAGAGUUAUUAGCAGCAUUAACUGGCAUAUCAUUUUUUGCUUAUGUUCUUAGUAGAUAUGCUGCAGCAAAGUUUUUCAGAACAUUAAAUUUGUUCAGUUCAAAAGAAUCAUUUUUACUUGGAAUAAUUAGUGCAAUGGCUAUCCUUUUAAUGAUUACAGAAUACUUUGGAAUAUCAAUGGAAUUAGGAUGCUACUUGUGUGGUGCAGUUAUGAGUUCUAUGGGAGAAAAAACAAUACAUCAGGUGACUAAUAUACUUGAACCGCUAAAGAUUUUUUUCUCUGUGCUUUUUUUUGCCUCUAUAGGGUUUCACAUAUUUCCGACAUUUUUGCUGUCAGAAUUAAUAUUGUUUGUGUCUAUUACAUUUUUUGUUAUGGCUACAAAGUUUUUUGUAUGUGCUGGAAUCUUGCACUACAUUUUGCCUAAAGGUAACAAAUCUAAAUGGUUAGUUGCUGCUGGGCUUGCGCAAUUGAGUGAGUUUUCAUUUGUGCUUGGAAGUCGAGCAAAGAGGUUCGGAUUGAUUGGUCGUGAGGUUUAUUUAAUCAUUUUAUCCAUUACGACGCUAAGUUUAUUUAUUUCGCCUUUUAUGUGGCGAUUUGUUUAUUGGAACGUCACUAAAGUAUCGCCAUGGAAUCUGAAUUUAAGAAAUAUUCAACAAAAGAUUUUGUCGUGAUGAAGCAAGUGUGUACUAUAGAUCUGUUUGAAUUACUUGAUGAAAAUUUUGUAUAGGGUCAAUAACACCGCCGGAGCAAACAAAGUGGUUCUCUGAAGCAUCAUUAUUUUUAAAAUAAUUUAUAACAGUGAAA
rnacentral:misc_RNA from 1 species